rnacentral:rRNA from 1 species
AGUGAGUAAUGUAUGGGGAUCUGCCUGACAGAGGGGGAUAACUACUGGAAACGGUAGCUAAUACCGCAUAAUCUCUAAGGAGCAAAGCAGGGGACCUUCGGGCCUUGCGCUGUCGGAUGAACCCAUAUGGGAUUAGCUAGUAGGUGAGGUAAUGGCUCACCUAGGCGACGAUCUCUAGCUGGUCUGAGAGGAUGAUCAGCCACACUGGGACUGAGACACGGCCCAGACUCCUACGGGAGGCAGCAGUGGGGAAUAUUGCACAAUGGGCGCAAGCCUGAUGCAGCCAUGCCGCGUGUAUGAAGAAGGCCUUAGGGUUGUAAAGUACUUUCAGUCGGGAGGAAGGCGUUGAUAUUAAUACUAUCAGCGAUUGACGUUACCGACAGAAGAAGCACCGGCUAACUCCGUGCCAGCAGCCGCGGUAAUACGGGGGGUGCAAGCGUUAAUCGGAAUUACUGGGCGUAAAGCGCACGCAGGCGGUUGAUUAAGUUAGAUGUGAAAUCCCCGGGCUUAACCUGGGAAUGGCAUCUAAAACUGGUCAGCUAGAGUCUUGUAGAGGGGGGUAGAAUUCCAUGUGUAGCGGUGAAAUGCGUAGAGAUGUGGAGGAAUACCGGUGGCGAAGGCGGCCCCCUGGACAAAGACUGACGCUCAGGUGCGAAAGCGUGGGGAGCAGACAGGAUUAGAUACCCUGGUAGUCCACGCUGUAAACGAUGUCGAUUUGGAGGUUGUUCCCUUGAGGAGUGGCUUCCGGAGCUAACGCGUUAAAUCGACCGCCUGGGGAGUACGGCCGCAAGGUUAGAACUCACAUGAAUUGACGGGGGCCCGCACAA